CCUACGGGUGGCAGCAGUGAGGAAUAUUGGUCAAUGGACGAGAGCCUGAACCAGCCAAGUAGCGUGAGGGAUGACUGCCCUAUGGGUUGUAAACUUCUUUUAUAUGGGAGUAAUAUGUUUUACGUGUAGAAUGUUGACUGUACCAUAUGAAUAAGCAUCGGCUAACUCCGUGCCAGCAGCCGCGGUUAUACGGAGGAUCCGAGCGUUAUCCGGAUUUAUUGGGUUUAAAGGGUGGGGAGGUGGGCAGUUACGUCAUUGGUGAAAUUUUGGGGGUUAAACCUCAUAUUGCAGUUGACACUGGAGGGCUAGAGAACAGUAGAGGUGGGCGGAAUAAGUGAAGUAGCGGUGAAAUGCAUAGAUAUAACGUAGAACACCGAUAGCGAAGGCAGCUUACUGGACUGAAACUGACGCUGAGGCUCGAGAGUGUGGGUAUCGAACAGGAUUAGAUACCCUUGUAGUC
rnacentral:rRNA from 1 species